CCUACGUGCGGCAGCAGUGGGGCAUAUUGGGCAAUGGGCGCAAGCCUGACCCAGCAACGCCGCGUGAAUGAAGAAGGCUUUCGGGUUGUAAACUUCUUUUAUUGAGGACGAAACAAAUGACGGUACUCUAUGAAUAAGCCACGGCUAACUACGUGCCAGCAGCCGCGGUAAUACGUAGGUGGCAAGCGUGAUCCGGAUUUACUGGGUGUAAAGGGCGUGUAGGCGGGACUGCAAGUCAGCUGUGAAAGCCAUGGGCUCAACCCAUGGCCUGCAUGUGAAACUGUAGUUCUUGAGUGGUGGAGAGGCAGGCGGAAUUCCGGGUGUAGCGGUGAAAUGCGUAGAUAUACGGAGGAACACCAGUGGCGAAGGCGGCCUGCUGAACAUUAACUGACGCUGAGGCGCGAAAGCGUGGGGAGCAAACAGGAUUAGAUACCCUAGUAGUC
rnacentral:rRNA from 1 species